UCGAAACCGUGCGCUGUUUGACCCUUUUCCUUGGGAACUUGGAUCGGAUUCAUUGUCACCCUUAAAAUAUUUGCCCUAAAUUCUUGUUCUUGUACCAGUUAGCUCCAGUUUGUUUCAAUUGAAGCUUCGGAUUCUUUCAAACAUGACAGAGUAUUGGGUCAGUCAAGGAAAGAAAUGGUGUGAUUUCUGCAAGAUAUUUAUAGCCAACAAUCCCUUGAGCAUCAGAACCCAUGACUUAGGUCAGCGCCACAAGGAUAAUGUUGCCAAAAGGCUUACUUCUAUGCGAAAGGAAAGUGCUGCUAGGGAUAAGGAACAGAAGAAUGCAGCUCAGGCCCUAGAGCAAAUAGAAGAGAAAGCUAAACGUAGCUAUCAAAAAGAUUUAGCAUCAUUUGAAGCUGAUAAGUCUUCAGAAGCUCAUAAUAAAAGACCAGAGAGUUUUAAAUUUUCUGCCAGAGAUGGUUGGGAAUAUGAUGCUGCUUCUGGAUAUUAUUACAACCUGUCUAAAGGAUAUCACUAUGACCCUAACUCUGGCCUAUUUUAUUCCAGCGAUUUAGGCAAAUGGGUUACAGAAGGAGAGGCAUUCAAAACUUCUAAGGUUUCAAGACCAGAUACAGGCUCUUCGUCCGUAUCAAAAGGCGAAGGAUCUGCUUCUAAAGCCAAAGGUGGCCAGGCUCCUGGUUUGGUCAUCUCCACCUCUCUAAACACCACAAGAACUGCUAACGGUGCUGCUCCAUCAUCAAUUGCUGUUAACAAGAGAAAAAGGGUGAAUGAGAAGACCAAGGUCAUAUCAAAGGAGGAAGCUGAGGCUCUCAAGGCUAGAGAAGCUGCAAAGAAGAGAAUGGAAGAGAGGGAGAAGCCAUUGAUGGGCCUUUACAAAUCAUAUUGACAUGUUAAUACUCAAUGAGGAGAUAAAAAGAAGAGCUACUGGAUUAUGUUCCUAAUAGCAAGGACUUCAACAUUUCACUUUGCACACGGUCGACAGUGUUGCCCAUAAAACCUGAAACCUGACCAUCAAUUCUAGCGAUGAACCUUGGCCUAUUUCAGGUUGUGCGACAUUUUAAUUGUAGCUGGGCAUGAAGUUCAUGUUGUUACGGGUGCUCCGGACUUUGGUUUUACUAGCGAGAUUCAGUCUCCCAACCUCCACAUUAGCAAGGUGACAGGACGUGCUGGAUUGUGGAGUUGUGCAAGCUGAUGCAUUGACAGUGGACCGUCUGUCCUCCUUGCAGAAGUACUCCGAGACGACUGUGGUGCGAAGGCCUUCCAUUUUGGCAGCAGAAGUAUCAGAGAAUGAUAUGUUGAUACUUUCAGAGUUCGGAGAUGUUGCCUACUCGCGCACGGUAGCCCGUCGACAGCAUAACUGAAAUCAUGUGGUCGAGUAUUGUCUUCCAGUGCCUCUAUCAUGGCAUUGUCCUCAAAAGCCCUUGCAUUCUUGUCCCCUCUUUAACCUUAUUGCACAUAAUUUUAGAGGGCGGGGGCCGGAGAGAAAGAGCGUGAUUUUAGAGACGGAAAGUGGGGCAAACUUUGUAACGGUGGAUCCUUCGAAAGCAACCGGUUAGGUUUGAACGCAUGCGGGCAGCUUUGACCGACCAACCAAUUUGUGCGUGUGUGCUGGUGUCACAGCCAAUCAAGCGGAGCCCUUCAGGAACCAAGUUAGAGGGAAGGGUUAUUUGCGCAUAUACACCUUAGAUCACGGGUAUUGUCGAAACCACCCCUCAAAUCUUAGUAUUUGUAAAACUAUCCCAUGAACCAU